rnacentral:rRNA from 1 species
CCUGCAAAACGAAUCUAAGUUCCCCCUUAACCCUCUUUUUCCUCCCCAGACAAACCCAACCCAAAUGUGAUAGUUAAGGGCUAUUUAAAGGGGGUACAGCCCCUUUAAAAAAGGACACAACCUCCACCAGCGGAUAACCCCUGUACGCCCAACCCCGUGGGCCUUAAAGCAGCCACCCCCAAAGAUUGCGUCAAAGCUCCAUCAACCAAAAACCCCCAAAACCAAUGCGACUCCCUACACCCACAGCAGGCCAACCUAUAACAAUAGAUGAAUCAAUGCUAGAACGAGUAACCAGGACACUACGUCCCCCCAAGCGCCAGCCUGUAUACCAUUAACAGUAAAACCUCAAUAAUAACCACCCCCACCAUUGAACCCACCCUGUCAACCCAACUCAGGGGCGCACACUGGAGUGAUCAAAAUCUACAAAAGGAACUCGGCAAACCUAAGACCCGACUGUUUACCAAAAACAUAGCCUUCAGCCAAACAAGUAUUGAAGG